GGACGCUUCUUGAACGAGAUCUCCAGCCGCCCAUCGAACGGUCAACCUGGCUCACUUCCCCGGAGCCAGGCCGGCAAGACGAUAGGCGCGGAUGGGGAUCUGGCUCAAGAAGCAGCACACC
rfam:Arthrobacter sp. Soil762 contig_11, whole genome shotgun sequence.